GAUGAACGCUAGCGACAGGCUUAACACAUGCAAGUCGAGGGGCAUCACGGGUAGCAAUAUCUGGUGGCGACCGGCGAACGGGUGAGUAACGCGUAUGCAACCUACUUGUAAACGGGAGACAACCUGGAGAAAUUUGGGCUAAACUUCCAUGAGGCAUUAUUACUGCAUGGUAAUGAUGUCAAACGUAAGGUUUACAAAUGGGCAUGCGUAUGAUUAGCUAGUUGGUAGGGUAAUAGCCUACCAAGGCGACGAUCAUUAGGGGUUCUGAGAGGAAGGUCCCCCAAUUGGAACUGAGAUACGGUCCAAACUCCUACGGGAGGCAGCAGUGAGGAAUAUUGGUCAAUGGGCGAAGCCUGAACCAGCCAUGCCGCGUGCGGGAUGAAGGCCCUACGGGUUGUAAACCGCUUUUACCCGGGAAGAACUAACCCCGAUGAGUCGGGGAUGGCCGGUACCGGGGAAUAAGGAUCGGCUAACUCCGUG
rnacentral:rRNA from 1 species